AUAUUGCACAAUGGGCGCAAGCCUGAUGCAGCGACGCCGCGUGGGGGAUGACGGCCUUCGGGUUGUAAACUCCUUUCAACCAUUACGAAGCAUUUGUGACGGUAGUGGUAGAAGAAGCACCGGCUAACUACGUGCCAGCAGCCGCGGUAAUCCGUAGGGUGCGAGCGGUGUCCGGAAUUACUGGGCGGAAAGAGCUCGGAGGUGGUUUGUCGCGUCGUCUGUGAAAUUCCGGGGCUUAACUCCGGGCGUGCAGGCGAUACGGGCAUAACUUGAGUACUGUAGGGGAGACUGGAAUUCCUGGUGUAGCGGUGAAAUGCGCAGAUAUCAGGAGGAACACCGAUGGCGAAGGCAGGUCUCUGGGCAGUUACUGACGCUGAGGAGCGAAAGCAUGGGUAGCGAAC
rnacentral:rRNA from 1 species